rnacentral:lncRNA from 1 species
UUAGUUAGAUUGGGGGACCCAAGCCUUAAUGGUCUUGGGUCGUACGUAACCUAGAAAGUAGCCCUCGUCAGCCACCUCACCGAAUUUUUGUUUAUCUUUAUUUCGCACUAUGGUGCAGGGUAAUCCAAAUGGUUCAAAGCCUUCUAAGUUUGGUUUCUUGUUAAACAUUAAUUCAUGACAAGUUUUGUUAAAACGUUUAACAGUCAAAACUUUGUUUAGGACGUAGCAAGCUGUAUUCACAGCUUCUCCCCAGAAAAGAACUGGUAGCUUAGAAUCUGAAAGCAUCGUCCUAGCGGCUUCAAUCAACGUCCUGUUUUUCCUCUCAGCAACUCCAUUCUGUUGAGGCGUAUAAGGAGCAGAAUAUUGAUGUUCAAUUCCCUUGCGAAGACAAUAGAGAUCUAGAAUACGAUUCUUGAACUCCGUGCCAUUAUCACUCCUUAUCCUCUUGAUCUUUGCAUCAUGGACAUUUUCCAAUUUUGUAAAAAGAUCUAUCAACAUCUCUGCUGUCUCAUCUUUUGUACCUAAAAAGAAAACCCAUGAAUAACGUGAGUAAUCAUCAGUGACAACUAAACAAUAGUACUUUCCACCUAUGCUCCUCACGUUCACUGGACCGAAUAAAUCCAUGUGAAGUAAUUCGUAAGGGGCAUCUAUGGAAUUUACUGUUUUUGAUUUAUGAGGUUUCUUGUGUUGUUUUCCCUUUUGACAUGGAAGACAUUUGUCUUCCACUUGAAACCUCCGCAAUGGAACCCCUUUCACUAGCUCAUUUUUAACAAGAUAGUUCAUUUUGCGAUAGUGAAUAUGGGCCAUGCGUCUGUGCCACAACAUCGAUUCAGCUUCAGAUGCUUUUGAUAGUAAACAUGCCACCACUGCAGUUGGAUCCUUAGCACCCAUGUCCAUGACAUAAGUGUCAUUUCUCCUUGGCGCUCGCAUCACUAUCCAAUCGUCCGGUAUCUUCAAACCUGGUUUCAACACUAAUGCUUCAUUCUUGGUAAAAUGGACCGAGUGACCCUUGUCGC